rnacentral:rRNA from 1 species
CUGGUCGAGUCGGCCUGCGCGGAAGAUGUAACGGGGCUAAACCAUGCACCGAAGCUGCGGCAGCGACACUGUGUGUUGUUGGGUAGGGGAGCGUUCUGUAAGCCUGUGAAGGUGUGCUGUGAGGCAUGCUGGAGGUAUCAGAAGUGCGAAUGCUGACAUAAGUAACGAUAAAGCGGGUGAAAAGCCCGCUCGCCGGAAGACCAAGGGUUCCUGUCCAACGUUAAUCGGGGCAGGGUGAGUCGACCCCUAAGGCGAGGCCGAAAGGCGUAGUCGAUGGGAAACAGGUUAAUAUUCCUGUACUUGGUGUUACUGCGAAGGGGGGACGGAGAAGGCUAUGUUGGCCGGGCGACGGUUGUCCCGGUUUAAGCGUGUAGGCUGGUUUUCCAGGCAAAUCCGGAAAAUCAAGGCUGAGGCGUGAUGACGAGGCACUACGGUGCUGAAGCAACAAAUGCCCUGCUUCCAGGAAAAGCCUCUAAGCAUCAGGUAACAUCAAAUCGUACCCCAAACCGACACAGGUGGUCAGGUAGAGAAUACCAAGGCGCUUGAGAGAACUCGGGUGAAGGAACUAGGCAAAAUGGUGCCGUAACUUCGGGAGAAGGCACGCUGAUAUGUAGGUGAAGUCCCUCGCGGAUGGAGCUGAAAUCAGUCGAAGAUACCAGCUGGCUGCAACUGUUUAUUAAAAACACAGCACUGUGCAAACACGAAAGUGGACGUAUACGGUGUGACGCCUGCCCGGUGCCGGAAGGUUAAUUGAUGGGGUCAGCGCAAGCGAAGCUCUUGAUCGAAGCCCCGGUAAACGGCGGCCGUAACUAUAACGGUCCUAAGGUAGCGAAAUUCCUUGUCGGGUAAGUUCCGACCUGCACGAAUGGCGUAAUGAUGGCCAGGCUGUCUCCACCCGAGACUCAGUGAAAUUGAACUCGCUGUGAAGAUGCAGUGUACCCGCGGCAAGACGGAAAGACCCCGUGAACCUUUACUAUAGCUUGACACUGAACAUUGAGCCUUGAUGUGUAGGAUAGGUGGGAGGCUUUGAAGUGUGGACGCCAGUCUGCAUGGAGCCGACCUUGAAAUACCACCCUUUAAUGUUUGAUGUUCUAACGUGGACCCGUGAUCCGGGUUGCGGACAGUGUCUGGUGGGUAGUUUGACUGGGGCGGUCUCCUCCUAAAGAGUAACGGAGGAGCACGAAGGUUGGCUAAUCCUGGUCGGACAUCAGGAGGUUAGUGCAAUGGCAUAAGCCAGCUUGACUGCGAGCGUGACGGCGCGAGCAGGUGCGAAAGCAGGUCAUAGUGAUCCGGUGGUUCUGAAUGGAAGGGCCAUCGCUCAACGGAUAAAAGGUACUCCGGGGAUAACAGGCUGAUACCGCCCAAGAGUUCAUAUCGACGGCGGUGUUUGGCACCUCGAUGUCGGCUCAUCACAUCCUGGGGCUGAAGUAGGUCCCAAGGGUAUGGCUGUUCGCCAUUUAAAGUGGUACGCGAGCUGGGUUUAGAACGUCGUGAGACAGUUCGGUCCCUAUCUGCCGUGGGCGCUGGAGAACUGAGGGGGGCUGCUCCUAGUACGAGAGGACCGGAGUGGACGCAUCACUGGUGUUCGGGUUGUCAUGCCAAUGGCACUGCCCGGUAGCUAAAUGCGGAAGAGAUAAGUGCUGAAAGCAUCUAAGCACGAAACUUGCCCCGAGAUGAGUUCUCCCUGACCCUUUAAGGGUCCUGAAGGAACGUUGAAGACGACGACGUUGAUAGGCCGGGUGUGUAAGCGCAGCGAUGCGUUGAGCUAACCGGUACUAAUGAACCGUGAGGCUUAACCUUACAACGCCGAAGGUGUUU